GACGAACGCUGGCGGCGUGCCUAAUACAUGCAAGUUGAGCGCUGAAGGUUGGUACUUGUACCAACUGGAUGAGCAGCGAACGGGUGAGUAACGCGUGGGGAAUCUGCCUUUGAGCGGGGGACAACAUUUGGAAACGAAUGCUAAUACCGCAUAAAAACUUUAAACACAAGUUUUAAGUUUGAAAGAUGCAAUUGCAUCACUCAAAGAUGAUCCCGCGUUGUAUUAGCUAGUUGGUGAGGUAAAGGCUCACCAAGGCGAUGAUACAUAGCCGACCUGAGAGGGUGAUCGGCCACAUUGGGACUGAGACCCGGCCCAAACUCCUACGGGAGGCAGCAGUAGGGAAUCUUCGGCAAUGGACGAAAGUCUGACCGAGCAACGCCGCGUGAGUGAAGAAGGUUUUCGGAUCGUAAAACUCUGUUGGUAGAGAAGAACGUUGGUGAGAGUGGAAAGCUCAUCAAGUGACGGUAACUACCCAGAAAGGGACGGCUAACUACGU
rnacentral:rRNA from 1 species